CGCUGAAGCCGACAGCUUGCUGUUGGUGGAUGAGUGGCGAACGGGUGAGUAACACGUGAGUAACCUGCCCCUGAUUUCGGGAUAAGCCUGGGAAACUGGGUCUAAUACCGGAUACGACCAUCUGACGCAUGUUGGGUGGUGGAAAGUUUUUCGAUCGGGGAUGGGCUCGCGGCCUAUCAGCUUGUUGGUGGGGUAAUGGCCUACCAAGGCGACGACGGGUAGCCGGCCUGAGAGGGCGACCGGCCACACUGGGACUGAGACACGGCCCAGACUCCUACGGGAGGCAGCAGUGGGGAAUAUUGCACAAUGGGGGAAACCCUGAUGCAGCGACGCAGCGUGCGGGAUGACGGCCUUCGGGUUGUAAACCGCUUUCAGCAGGGAAGAAGCGAGAGUGACGGUACCUGCAGAAGAAGUACCGGCUAACUACGUGCCAGCAGCCGCGGUAAUACGUAGGGUACGAGCGUUGUCCGGAAUUAUUGGGCGUAAAGAGCUCGUAGGUGGUUGGUCACGUCUGCUGUGGAAACGCAACGCUUAACGUUGCGCGUGCAGUGGGUACGGGCUGACUAGAGUGCAGUAGGGGAGUCUGGAAUUCCUGGUGUAGCGGUGAAAUGCGCAGAUAUCAGGAGGAACACCGGUGGCGAAGGCGGGACUCUGGGCUGUAACUGACACUGAGGAGCGAAAGCAUGGGGAGCGAACAGGAUUAGAUACC
rnacentral:rRNA from 1 species